rnacentral:rRNA from 1 species
GACGAACGCUGGCGGCGUGCUUAACACAUGCAAGUCGAACGGAAAGGCCCUGCUUUUGUGGGGUGCUCGAGUGGCGAACGGGUGAGUAACACGUGAGUAACCUGCCCUUGACUUUGGGAUAACUUCAGGAAACUGGGGCUAAUACCGGAUAGGAGCUCCUGCUGCAUGGUGGGGGUUGGAAAGUUUCGGCGGUUGGGGAUGGACUCGCGGCUUAUCAGCUUGUUGGUGGGGUAGUGGCUUACCAAGGCUUUGACGGGUAGCCGGCCUGAGAGGGUGACCGGCCACAUUGGGACUGAGAUACGGCCCAGACUCCUACGGGAGGCAGCAGUGGGGAAUAUUGCACAAUGGGCGGAAGCCUGAUGCAGCAACGCCGCGUGCGGGAUGACGGCCUUCGGGUUGUAAACCGCUUUCGCCUGUGACGAAGCGUGAGGGACGGUAAUGGGUAAAGAAGCACCGGCUACUACGUG